UCCAAUGUCUAAUUUAUAAGC
rnacentral:piRNA from 1 species